rnacentral:rRNA from 1 species
GUGUAGCAAUACACCAGCGGCAGACGGGUGAGUAACGCGUGGGAACAUACCUUUUGGUUCGGAACAACCCAGGGAAACUUGGGCUAAUACCGGAUAAGCCCUUACGGGGAAAGAUUUAUCGCCGAAAGAUUGGCCCGCGUCUGAUUAGCUAGUUGGUGAGGUAAUGGCUCACCAAGGCGACGAUCAGUAGCUGGUCUGAGAGGAUGAUCAGCCACAUUGGGACUGAGACACGGCCCAAACUCCUACGGGAGGCAGCAGUGGGGAAUAUUGGACAAUGGGCGCAAGCCUGAUCCAGCCAUGCCGCGUGAGUGAUGAAGGCCCUAGGGUUGUAAAGCUCUUUUGUGCGGGAAGAUAAUGACGGUACCGCAAGAAUAAGCCCCGGCUAACUUCGUGCCAGCAGCCGCGGUAAUACGAAGGGGGCUAGCGUUGCUCGGAAUCACUGGGCGUAAAGGGUGCGUAGGCGGGUCUUUAAGUCAGGGGUGAAAUCCUGGAGCUCAACUCCAGAACUGCCUUUGAUACUGAAGAUCUUGAGUUCGGGAGAGGUGAGUGGAACUGCGAGUGUAGAGGUGAAAUUCGUAGAUAUUCGCAAGAACACCAGUGGCGAAGGCGGCUCACUGGCCCGAUACUGACGCUGAGC